AUGACCUCUGCAACUCUGAUCAGGAAGCACGACAGCGGCACCGAGGUCCAUGAACUUUCCAGUGUGAAGAUUGAGGUGCUCCUGCCUAACAAAAAGGUUGUCAAGGGGCAGUUGCUGAUGUACGAUUUGCACUAUAAUGUCGCCAUCGUUUCCGUCGAGUGCGAAGCUGAUCUCCUCGUGGCGGUGCUCGCCGACCUCCCGGGCUCCUACUUCCUGACACCUACUCCAGUCGUUUCGGUUGCCUGGAAAUUUGAGUCUGGAAGUUUGCAGCUGAAACGUGGGGAGACAUUCCGUGCAGUUAGCGAGUUAGAUUGCAAUGAACUUAUGGUCUGCACUUGUCAAAUGGAGCCUCAGAGGCAAAACAAGGAUAACAGCAUUCAGUAUAUUACGACGAUUUUCAUUGGGGGUCUUCUGAUUGAUUUGGAAGGAAGAAUUGUUGGUAUGAAUUUCAUAGACGAGAAUAAAACUCCCUUUUUGCCUGUCCAGCUUGUUGGGAGAUGCCUGAAACAUUUCAGAAAGUUUGGGCGAAUCAAACAACCAUUUCUAGGAAUAAGGGGCCGGGGGCUUCACAUGUUGGAAUUAAAGGACUUGGAGAAAAUAUGCCACAAGUACCAUAAGCCACCUUCUGGAAUUCUGGUGGAGAAGAUUCCUGAAGUAUCAUCUGCAAAUUGUGGAGGCAUUGAGGCUGGUGAUAUCAUUAAUAAACUUGAUGGAGUUGUUUUGCACUCUCCAGCACAGCUUACAACAAUGCUUCUAGACACAAUGGAGGUUGCAGUGAAUAUGCAGCCAGUCGUCCUCCAGGCGACUGUCUUGAGACCCAGGGAUGGUACAACAUUUGUUGCAAACCUAAAAGUAGUGGAAUGCCCCCAUGGUGAAUGCCAUAUGUUGCUCAAAAACAGAUGGAGACUGCCACCGCCAAAAGAGUAUUGGUGGGGGCCAAGUGAAUGGCAUGAUUACUCCGACUAA
rnacentral:rRNA from 1 species